rnacentral:rRNA from 1 species
UGCAGUCGAACGAUGAAGCACCAGCUUGCUGGUGUGGAUUAGUGGCGAACGGGUGAGUAACACGUGAGCAACCUGCCCCGGACUUUGGGAUAAGCGCUGGAAACGGCGUCUAAUACCGAAUAUGCACCAUGAAGGCAUCUUCAAUGGUGGGAAAGAUUUAUCGGUCCGGGAGGGGCUCGCGGCCUAUCAGCUUGUUGGUGAGGUAAUGGCUCACCAAGGCGUCGACGGGUAGCCGGCCUGAGAGGGUGACCGGCCACACUGGGACUGAGACACGGCCCAGACUCCUACGGGAGGCAGCAGUGGGGAAUAUUGCACAAUGGGCGCAAGCCUGAUGCAGCAACGCCGCGUGGGGGAUGACGGCCUUCGGGUUGUAAACCCCUUUUAGUAGGGAAGAAGCCUUCGGGUGACGGUACCUGCAGAAAAAGCGCCGGCUAACUACGUGCCAGCAGCCGCGGUAAUACGUAGGGCGCAAGCGUUAUCCGGAAUUAUUGGGCGUAAAGAGCUCGUAGGCGGCUUGUCGCGUCUGCUGUGAAAACUGGAGGCUCAACUUCCAGCGUGCAGUGGGUACGGGCAGGCUAGAGUGCGGUAGGGGAGAUUGGAAUUCCUGGUGUAGCGGUGGAAUGCGCAGAUAUCAGGAGGAACACCGAUGGCGAAGGCAGAUCUCUGGGCCGUAACUGACGCUGAGGAGCGAAAGAGUGGGGAGCGAACAGGCUUAGAUACCCUGGUAGUCCACUCCGUAAACGUUGGGAA